GAUGAACGCUGGCGGCGUGCCUAAUACAUGCAAGUCGAGCGAACAGACGAGGAGCUUGCUCCUCUGACGUUAGCGGCGGACGGGUGAGUAACACGUGGAUAACCUACCUAUAAGACUGGGAUAACUUCGGGAAACCGGAGCUAAUACCGGAUAAUAUAUUGAACCGCAUGGUUCAAUAGUGAAAGACGGUUUUGCUGUCACUUAUAGAUGGAUCCGCGCCGCAUUAGCUAGUUGGUAAGGUAACGGCUUACCAAGGCAACGAUGCGUAGCCGACCUGAGAGGGUGAUCGGCCACACUGGAACUGAGACACGGUCCAGACUCCUACGGGAGGCAGCAGUAGGGAAUCUUCCGCGAUGGGCGAAAGCCUGACGGAGCAACGCCGCGUGAGUGAUGAAGGUCUGGAUCGUAAAACUCUGUUAUUAGGGAAGAACAAAUGUGUAAGUAACUAUGCACGUCUUGACGGUACCUAAUCAGAAAGCCACGGCUAACUACGUG
rnacentral:rRNA from 1 species